UACAGAGGGGGCAAGCGUUGUUCGGAAUUACUGGGCGUAAAGGGCGCGUAGGCGGCCCGCUAAGUCGAACGUGAAAUCCCCAGGCUUAACCUGGGAACUGCGUGUGAUACUGGAUGGCUUGAAUCCGGGAGAGGGAUGCAGAAUUCCAGGUGUAGCGGUGAAAUGCGUAGAUAUCUGGAGGAAUACCGGUGGCGAAGGCGGCAUCCUGGACCGGCAUUGACGCUGAUGAGCGAAAGCUAGGGGAGCAAACGGG
rnacentral:rRNA from 1 species